GGCUUAUGAUGUUGGAGGAUAUGUUAAAGUACGGAGGAGGUGCAAAGGUUGGGUGAGUGGGCAGUGAAUUGAGGCCAGAGGAGGUCAUUGCAGUACUGGGAACUGGUAUGGGGGGAAAAAACCCCAACAUAUUUGAAAGCAUCUGAUUUUACCAGUUCUUCCAUGAGUUUCCUGCAGUCUCAACCUUGAUGCAAGCUCCCAGUAAAGAUGCCCCCACCACCGCACGUUGGGACUGGCAGGUUAAAGGGUACCUCUGAUAGCAUCACUCUGCACAGCACUUGAGGUGUCAGUAGAAGAAGCUUCAAGAGUAACGUAAGGAGGAAAAAAAAUCUAGGAAUUUUUAGUGGAAGAGAGCGGAAUCAAAAUCAAAGGAAACUGCAAGGUUCAGACAGAUGGAAAUAGAGAACUGUGUCCAUUCCUAAUUGCAGCAAUCAAAAGAGGAUGAAUGAAGAAGAUCAUUUUGCCUCUGAGGAUGGCUGAGUUUAUGUUUUUCUUGAAUUCAAACACUGAUAGUGAAGAAAAAUGAGUAAAGGAAAAAACUGAAGAAAAAUUCAUUAAGAAAAAUACCCGAAGAAUCAAUCACUUCACAUUGUUUCCUAAUCUUUUCCUUAGAAAACAGUAUGGUUCACAUUUUUUUAAAAAAAAUGGAAGGAAAAUGCAUUGUAUUAAAAGUGUCUUCCAUGAG